CAGCCGCCGCGGUAAUACGAAGGUCCCGAGCGUUGUUCGGAAUCACUGGGCGUAAAGGGAGCGUAGGCGGCGUGGUAAGUCAGAUGUGAAAUCCCGGGGCUCAACCCCGGAACUGCAUCCGAUACUGCCAUGCUAGAGGAUUGGAGAGGUAGCUGGAAUUCUUGGUGUAGCAGUGAAAUGCGUGGAGAUCAAGAGGAACACUCGUGGCGAAAGCGAGCUACUGGACAAUAACUAACGCUGAGGCUCGAAGGCCAGGGUAGCGAAAGGGAUUAGAUACCCGCGUAGUCCCUGUCUCUUAUAA
rnacentral:rRNA from 1 species